AGUCUGUAUAUUUGAACAUAACAGCAGGACAGGUUGGUUUUAAACAACUGCACGUUUAAUACCAACAAACUGUUUCCAGCUUAUAUUAUCGCUCCAUGUUCUUCUACAUAUUUCAAGGGAAAAACUAUAUAUAUAUAUGAUUCUUAUAUUGUAAGAUCUGACAACAUCAUCAUUGUUUGUGUUUAUUUGCAAUUGUUUUGUCAUUCCUUUAUAUGCUGGCAGUAUUUAUAUAGUAGCCUCAUUAAACAUGUUUAUUCCUUUAAACAACUAAAAUAAAAUGAAUCUGUUUUAUUCUUAAAGAUAAUAAAAGCUCAUUAAAAACAGUGACAACAUAUUCUACUGCGACUGUGUGAGUCAGGGAACACUGAACCGUCAAUAACAGAGUUGAAACUACUUCUGUUUAAAGCUCCACAUAUCGUCAUUCUGGUCUGCAGUCAGUUCCUCACAGUACAACGAUCACGUGUCUGUCCACAUACUUUCAGCACAUGGUGUUUUUAUUAUAUAUGAAACUGUUCUUUCAUUUCUAUUUGUCAAUUCACACAAACACAUUUAAUCAAACUUCAUCUGAUGAUUGUUUUACUGAGUAACCAUCAAAGAUGUUGGAUUGAACUCUCAAUGUCCUCUUCAGCUCCAUGUUUCCUGCUGAUGGUGCAGAGUUUAACCUCUGGUGUCAUCAUAUAAAAGCUGCUCCUCAACCUGACCUCCUGUGUCUGUGGAACAUUUGUAGUGAAUGUGACACAGACCUCCUAUCAGGCAGAGGAGAACAAUAACAUCACACUGGAAUGGACGUUCACAACCAACACUCACAGUUCCCUCAACUUCCUUUUUAUCUACAGUGAACUGAUUACUGAUCACAAGGUUUCAGUCCUCUAUGAUCUAAGGGAUGGUGUCGAGAUCUCAGAGUCUCAGGAUGAACAGUUUAAAGGACGAGUCCAGUGUGACAAAGACGUCCUCAAAGAAGGACGAAUCAGAUUUCAUGUGUCCAGACUCAGGACUGAAGACUCGGGCCUGUACCUGUGUAAAAGAACAACUUAUGGUUCGAGCUCUGACAGGUGUCGACUCAGUGUCACUGGUAAGUUGAUUUUAUAGAACUCAGUUAGUAAAAGAGGACUCAGAGUCUAAGACUAUUAGUUUGGUGUGUUAGCAUGCUAACAUUAGCUAAUUAGCACUAAGCACAAACUAAUUGCUGAGCUGAGUUACUUUAGUGUUAAGUUAAAUUCCUCCUGAGGGGGACACGGAUGGACAGACUCAUAUUUCCAUCCACAGAGCUGCUGCCAGCGGCUGAAACUGUCCAUCAUAACGACCUGGAGCCAUGAACCNGGAAACAGAGAAA
rnacentral:lncRNA from 15 species